AUGUUUCUACUGAAACUAAUAUAACCUAGGAUGUCAGAGUUGGAGGGACUACAAGUUGUUGAUGUGCAUACCAUAUAAUUUUUGGUAAAAGAACAUGGACUAUUUCAACUACUGAGAUGUGAAACAUGUCAUACACCCAAGAAUUGAGCUCUGCAGUCAAGUGUCUAAGAAUAUGGUUGAAAGAGAGAGAUAGAGAGAGAAAGCAAGGAAUGGUAGGCCUACUAUAAAAAAAAAGUAUACUAAUACCAUUAAAAAGGUAAAUCUGGAUCUAUUGUCAUUUCGCUACAUUCAAAAAAAGUGAGAUAAACUAUAACAAUAAAUAAAUCCAAAAUGAUAUUUCUUUUUGUUUUAUUUAGAGAAC